rnacentral:misc_RNA from 1 species
AAACAACUCUUUCAACUGCAGGGAAAGAUAAUGCAUGGGCCAGAGCUUUCUUUUGAAAGGCUGAAAGUUUCUUCAGUCUUUCUGUGUCGGUAACAUCAGUGGCAUGGGAUGGAAGUAAAUAGUCUAAUCGCUGAGCAGUAGUACCCGAACCAGAACAAGAAGGAUCUAAAAGAAUUGCGCGGAUCUUGGAGAAAGAAGGAUCUUUUGGAUUUAAGUUCAAGAAAUCACCAUGCAGAACUUCGAUGUUAGUGGCACCAGAGAGUCUGACAGUGUCUUCUAAACGCUUAAUCCUGUCCUUAUUCAACUCACAUGCUAUAAUUUUUCCUUUUCCUCUCAUAAGAGCAGCAAGAUGGACAGUUUUGUUUCCUGGAGCUGAACAUGCAUCAAGAACCUUCAUAGAAAAUUGAUUUAAGAAUGUUAGCUUUGAAUUUAAAGAAGUCAAGAACAAAUGAACUAUGGAUCAGCAUCCCACUGUCAAAAUAACACAAAACAUUAACUUUGCAAGUCACAUAUACAGUGAUUUUUGUAGCUUCCUUUUCAAGUUUUUUCACUUGCAUCUCACAAAAACAGAAAAAAAGCACGUGUUACUCUAUUUCAUAUUUCUACUGAAUUCAUAAUCUGUUUAUAGGACAAGAAGGUAUUUUUAAUUCAAUUGGCAGAGAGUCUGUGAGAAGUAAUAUUCAUUGUCAAUCACCAAAACACACCUCCCAGCCAGGCUUGGGUGCAAGGACUGCUGCCACCAUUGAACUUGCCUUUCCUUGCAAAAAGACACUUCCAUUCAAGACCAGAGGAUGAUUGUGUAAAUCAGUAUGUGGAGGGAGUAUCAACAGGUCAGGUACAAUGUCAUCCUUCCGAACCGUGAACUGUUUCCCUAAUUCAAGUAAAGCACAAUCAACAUCUGCUUUCAGAGUAUUUAUACGAACACAACAAGGUUUUGAAACAUCAAGAGGUUGAUAAAAAUCAAUUAGAUCUUCAAUGCUCCUCACUUUCUUUCUUACUAAAAGCUUUGCCAGAGCUGACUGGAGAGCAUUUUUCCUGCCAAUCAGAAACUUCUCCGCAUCACCACCAACCAAUGAGAUUUCCUGCCCAAAUAGAAUGUCAUACACUAUUAUGUAGAUCAGUUCCUCUUGCCUCUUCCACUUGCUAUUUAGUAUGGCAGCAGACUCCAAGACAUUCUUAAUAAUGGGUAAAUGCUUAAGGGUUUGGCAGACGAGAGCGAAAGUCGCCUUUUUGUUCUUAACGGAAGGGCCAUAGACGAGGGAUUUGAUGGAGCCAACAGCUUGGCGCUGGGCGUCGCCUUGGAGAACGCUCCUCAAGACCUUGGCCGCCUCCCUCCUUGCGAAGUAAGCCGACCUCUCAGCGUUGCUCGGCCGCCGGUUUUCCGAUUUCUCGGCUGCAGCCGAUGGCUUUGGUUUAGACGAAAGCGCCUUCUUUCGCACCAUUUGGCUCCAAGGUACCAG